CUUCCCGCCCCGAAGACAGAGGAGGCAAGGCGAUGGCCCGGGGCGGCGCCCAGACACGCGGGUAGGCUUGUUGGGGGGAUGCUCCCCCGUGCCGCCCGGCUCCCCGGCGCCCAGGCGGCACAUUGCACAUUGCCCAGCGCACAACGCCCUCUAGCCAAAGUCAGACUCAAGACGUUUCCAAGCCACCCCCCCUUCUGACACGGAGAAAAGCGGCUCCCGGCCCCUCCACGCCACCGCUCCAGGGUGCACCACGCUGAAGUCGGGAGGCUGCCGGGGCCAGCUGAUGACCAGCCCGCGGGUGCAAUGAAAUGUAACCUCGACGCGGCAGCCGCGCCGCCCUGCCCUUCGGUGCGUUUUAAAGGGACUAGUUGAGAACAGUUCAGGAAGUGACAAGCCUAUUUCCUCCCUCUUAGUAGAUCGGCACGAAGCACUCCGGAGCCAGCAGGGGAGUCGCGCAGGCUCCUUCUGGAGACAGAUGCUGCAGAUCGUAGCGGGGAGACCCACAGCCGCGUGCUGGAGGAUGGGGGCUUAAUACCAAGAGGCAGAUUGCCAAGAAGGAAAAGACAAAACCACUGCCAAUACCAUGUCCUUAGUCUGAGAAGGAAUAGCUACUGAGAUGAUGGGCCUAACCACCUCUGACCCUCUCCUGUCAUUUCUCUCUAUUCCUUUCCGCCAUUUGUUUGUAAGGGAGUCUUUCCCCUGCCACUCCUGUUCCUUAAGAGCAAGGGGACAAUAAACUGAUGUUGUUUUUCACUGA